rnacentral:rRNA from 1 species
GACGAACGCUGGCGGCGUGCUUAACACAUGCAAGUCGAACGGAAAGGCCUGCUUUCCCUUGUGGAUUGCGGGUACUCGAGUGGCGAACGGGUGAGUAACACGUGAGUGAUCUGCCCCCAACUUGGGUAUAAGCCUGGGAAACUGGGUCUAAUUCCCGAUAGGACUGCAGGGUGGUGCCUGUGGUGGAAAACGAUUUUCUAGUGGUUGGGGAUGAGCUCGCGGCCUAUCAGCUUGUUGGUGGGGUAAUGGCCUACCAAGGCGGCGACGGGUAGCCGGCCUGGGAGGGUGGACGGCCACAUUGGGACUGAGAUACGGCCCAGACUCCUACGGGAGGCAGCAGUGGGGAAUAUUGCACCAUGGGCGGAAGCCCGAUGCAGCGACGCCGCGUGGGGGAUGACGGCCUUCGGGUUGUAAACUCCUUUCGACCGCGAGGAAGCCACCUGGUUGGAAGGGUGGUGACGGUAGUGGUAGAAGAAGCACCGGCUAACUACGUG